UAACAGGGGGCCAUGGUGGUGCUUGGGUCAACUGUCAUUCGUGUCCACUCAGAUCCUAUGUCUAAUAGUCCUUGAAAGAUCUAGGGGUUCUCCUUUCUCCGGUGUAGAAUUACUCAGCAUCCUUCCUCAAAGGGACCUGACCUCCCCUUCAAUCAAUGAGUCCUGGAUCUUAGAGCUGACUCACAUGCAGAAACUGGGGAUGCUGCUUCGCUGCCUGAACCUUACUGAGACUUGACCAUAAUUGAUCUACAGCAAAGGGGAGAGGCAGGAGCAGAUCUUCAGGACAGCAAACAUUGUCUGGGAAGGUGGAGAAUUCUGCAGAAUUUCAGAAGCACUGGCUUAGUGUGUUGGAAAUCGUUGAGGCCCUGCCAGACCGUCCGCAUGCCAUCCAGACCGUCCGCAUGCCAUCCAAACCUCCGCAUCAAUGAAAGGGAACUCAGCAAGCAGGAGCUAAGCAGCAAGCAGCCACUGCUCAGUUUGAGGUCCCAGGACAGGAAGAAUUCCUGCAGCAGACACUAAUUGCUUAGGUAAUAGCCAUUCUUCCUUUCUAACAGAAUCCCAGUUACCAUGUGGGUGACGAUGUGCUGUGCUAAAAGCACCUGUCUU
rnacentral:lncRNA from 10 species